AUUGAACGCUGGCGGAAUGCUUUACACAUGCAAGUCGAACGGCAGCACGGGUGCUUGCACCUGGUGGCGAGUGGCGAACGGGUGAGUAAUGCGUCGGAACGUACCGAGUAAUGGGGGAUAACGCACCGAAAGGUGUGCUAAUACCGCAUACGCCCUCCGGGGGAAAGCAGGGGAUCGCAAGACCUUGCGUUAUUCGAGCGGCCGACGUCUGAUUAGCUAGUUGGUGGGGUAAAGGCUCACCAAGGCGACGAUCUGUAGCGGGUCUUAGAGGAUGAUCCGCCACACUGGAACUGAGACACGGUCCAGACUCCUACGGGUGGCUG
rnacentral:rRNA from 1 species